rnacentral:rRNA from 1 species
ACGAACGCUGGCGGCAUGCCUAACACAUGCAAGUCGAACGGGAUCCUGGCUUCGGUCAGGUGAGAGUGGCGGACGGGUGAGUAACGCGUGGGAACCUGCCCAGUGGUGGGGGAUAACUGCGGGAAACUGCAGCUAAUACCGCAUGAGCCCGAGAGGGGAAAGAUUUAUCGCCGAGAGAUUAGCCCGCGUCCGAUUAGCUAGUUGGUGAGGUAAUGGCUCACCAAGGCGACGAUCGGUAGCUGGUCUGAGAGGAUGAUCAGCCACACUGGGACUGAGACACGGCCCAGACUCCUACGGGAGGCAGCAGUGGGGAAUAUUGGACAAUGGGCGAAAGCCUGAUCCAGCCAUGCCGCGUGAGUGAUGAAGGCCUUAGGGUUGUAAAGCUCUUUCACCCACGACGAUGAUGACGGUAGUGGGAGAAGAAGCCCCGGCUAACUUCGU